GACGAACGCUGGCGGCGUGCUUAACACAUGCAAGUCGAACGGAAAGGCCCUGCUUUUGUGGGGUGCUCGAGUGGCGAACGGGUGAGUAACACGUGAGUAACCUGCCCUUGACUUUGGGAUAACUUCAGGAAACUGGGGCUAAUACCGGAUAGGAGCUCCUGCUGCAUGGUGGGGGUUGGAAAGUUUCGGCGGUUGGGGGUGGACUCGCGGCUUAUCAGCUUGUUGGUGGGGUAGUGGCUUACCAAGGCUUUGACGGGUAGCCGGCCUGAGAGGGUGACCGGCCACAUUGGGACUGAGAUACGGCCCAGACUCCUACGGGAGGCAGCAGUGGGGAAUAUUGCACAAUGGGCGGAAGCCUGAUGCAGCAACGCCGCGUGCGGGAUGACGGCCUUCGGGUGGUAAACCGCUUUCGCCUGUGACGAAGCGUGAGUGACGGUAAUGGGUAAAGAAGCACCGGCUAACUACGU
rnacentral:rRNA from 1 species